rnacentral:rRNA from 1 species
CUACGGGCGGCACCAGUGGGGAAUAUUGCACAAUGGGGGAAACCCUGAUGCAGCAACGCCGCGUGGAGGAUGACACAUUUCGGUGCGUAAACUCCUUUUAUAUAGGAAGAUAAUGACGGUACUAUAUGAAUAAGCACCGGCUAACUCCGUGCCAGCAGCCGCGGUAAUAAGGAGGGUGCAAGCGUUACUCGGAAUUACUGGGCGUAAAGAGCGUGUAGGCGGGUUUGUAAGUUGGAUGUGAAAUCCUAUGGCUCAACCAUAGAACUGCAUCCAAAACUACUUACCUAGAGUGUGGGAGAGGUAGAUGGAAUUUCUGGUGUAGGGGUAAAAUCCGUAGAGAUCAGAAGGAAUACCGAUUGCGAAGGCGAUCUACUGGAACAUAACUGACGCUGAGACGCGAAAGCGUGGGGAGCAAACAGGAUUAGAUACCCCAGUAGUC